UUCCUCCCCCCUCUCCAUUUCUCCUCAUUCCACCAGGGAACCCUGACUAAGGAACAGAGAAGUCCUACAAAGGGGAGAUCUCAAGUACCACUCAGCAGCCAUUUGAUGAUGGCAGGUAGGUCGCUGAGACUCAGGUCCAGCUCAUUGCCGUCCAGCUUGUCGCGGAGGUUCCCGCCCUUGCUACCGGUCUUGGUCAUGAUGACGCCGGCUAAGCGGGUCCCUGCUCCCGGUUUCCGACGGGCAGGAGAGAGGGCUAAGAGGCCGCUCGUGGGCUCAGCGGAUUCGCACCCAACGGACCACGCCUGCGCCUUAAGUCGCCGCCGCCGCCGCUGAGAGGCCUCCGCCACCCGUCCGCUUGCCC
rnacentral:lncRNA from 1 species